AACUAGUAUUAGAGGCACUGCCUGCCCAGUGACAAUCGUUAAACGGCCGCGGUAUCUUGACCGUGCAAAGGUAGCAUAAUCACUUGUUCUCUAAAUAAGGACUUGUAUGAAUGGCCACACGAGGGUUUUACUGUCUCUUACUCUUAAUCAGUGAAAUUGACCUCCCCGUGAAGAGGCGGGGAUAAUACAAUAAGACGAGAAGACCCUAUGGAGCUUUAAUUAAUCAACUCAAAAAGCAUAAAACAAUACCACCAAGGGAUAACAAAGCUUUAAAUGAGCUGACAAUUUCGGUUGGGGUGACCUCGGAGUAUAAAAAACCCUCCGAGUGAUUAAAACUUAGGCCUACUAGCCAAAGUAUAGUAUCACUUAUUGAUCCAAAAUUUUGAUCAACGGAACAAGUUACCCUAGGGAUAACAGCGCAAUCCUAUUCUAGAGUCCAUAUCGACAAUAGGGUUUACGACCUCGAUGUUGGAUCAGGACAUCCUAAUGGUGCAGCAGCUAUUAAGGGUUCGUUUGUU
rnacentral:rRNA from 1 species